CUAACGCGUUAAGUUUCCCGCCUGGGGAGUACGCACGCAAGUGUGAAACUCAAAGGAAUUGACGGGGGCCCGCACAAGCGGUGGAGUAUGUGGUUUAAUUCGAUGCAACGCGAAGAACCUUACCAGGACUUGACAUCUGGCGAAUCUCCCUGAAAGGGGAGAGUGCCUUCGGGAACGCCAAGACAGGUGGUGCAUGGCUGUCGUCAGCUCGUGUCGUGAGAUGUUGGGUUAAGUCCCGCAACGAGCGCAACCCUCGUUCUUAGUUGCCAGCAAUUAGGUUGGGCACUCUAGGGAGACUGCCGGGGACAACUCGGAGGAAGGUGGGGAUGACGUCAAGUCAGCAUGCCCCUUACGUCCUGGGCUACACACGUACUACAAUGGUCUAGACAAAGGGCAGCAAACUCGCAAGAGCAAGCGAAUCUCAGCAAACUAGGCCUCAGUUCAGAUUGCAGGCUGCAACUCGCCUGCAUGAAGGAGGAAUCGCUAGUAAUCGCAGGUCAGAAUACUGCGGUGAAUCCGUUCCCGGGCCUUGUACACACCGCCCGUCACACCAUGGAAGCUGGCCACGCCCGAAGUCGUUACUCCAACC
rnacentral:rRNA from 1 species